UUCCUAUUCUAAAAACAAAAAUAGCAUAACCUGAAUAAUACACUUUAGAUUUCAUUUUAUAUGUUUACUUGUCAAUAAGAAAAAUAUAUGACACUAAUGUAAAAUUUAUUACAGCCAAAAGCCUAACAUCAAAGCAACCGAUAAAACACAUUAAACCAUGCGGUACUUUGUGAAGAAUAGUAUAAACAGAUUUCAAUUUUGAUAAUAUUUCUGUUCGGGCAAUUUAAUAUUCAUUUAAAAGUUAUUUAUAAUUUAUGUCAAAUUACCACUAAACAAUCCCUGUUACUUCCUCAUUCUGUUUUGUACCAUAUACUAUUUUGUUGUAUUGUGAAUCACUAUAGUAUCUAUUUAUAUACAUCACCUAUUAGUUUUACAAG
rnacentral:lncRNA from 1 species